AACGAACGCUGGCGGCAGGCCUAACACAUGCAAGUCGAGCGCCCUUUCGGGGGAGCGGCGGACGGGUGAGUAACGCGUGGGAAUAUGCCCUUCUCUACGGAAUAGCCUCGGGAAACUGAGAGUAAUACCGUAUACGCCCUGUGGGGGAAAGAUUUAUCGGGGAAGGAUUAGCCCGCGUUGGAUUAGGUAGUUGGUGGGGUAAUGGCCUACCAAGCCGACGAUCCAUAGCUGGUUUGAGAGGAUGAUCAGCCACACUGGGACUGAGACACGGCCCAGACUCCUACGGGAGGCAGAAGGGGGGAAUCUUAGAAAAGGGGGGCAACCCUGAUCUAGCCAGGCCGGGGGAGGGAUGAAGGCCUUGGGGUUGAAAAGCUCUUUAAGCGGGGAAGAAAAGGAUGGUACCAGCAAAAGAAGCCCCGGCAAACUCGGG
rnacentral:rRNA from 1 species